AACGAACGCUGGCGGCAGGCUUAACACAUGCAAGUCGAACGCCCCGCAAGGGGAGUGGCAGACGGGUGAGUAACGCGUGGGAACGUACCUUUCGCUUCGGAAUAUUCCCGGGAAACUGGGAGCAAUGCCGAAUACGCCGUAUUGGGAAAGAUUUAUCGGCGAAAGAUCGGCCCGCGUUAGAUUAGGUAGUUGGCGGUGUAAUGGACCACCAAGCCUACGAUCUAUAGCUGGUCUGAGAGGAUGAUCAGCCACACUGGGACUGAGACACGGCCCAGACUCCUACGGGAGGCAGCAGUGGGGAAUCUUGGACAAUGGGCGCAAGCCUGAUCAGCCAUGCCGCGUGAGUGAAGAAGGCCUUAGGGUUGUAAAACUCUUUCGCCGGAGAAGAUAAUGACGGUAUCCGGAGAAGAAGCCCCGGCUAACUUCGUGCCAGCCGCCGCUGUAAAAA
rnacentral:rRNA from 1 species